UAGUGGCGAACGGGUGAGUAACACGUGGGCAAUCUGCCCUUCACUCUGGGACAAGCCCUGGAAACGGGGUCUAAUACCGGAUAACACUCCUGCCUGCAUGGGCGGGGGUUGAAAGCUCCGGCGGUGAAGGAUGAGCCCGCGGCCUAUCAGCUUGUUGGUGAGGUAAUGGCUCACCAAGGCGACGACGGGUAGCCGGCCUGAGAGGGCGACCGGCCACACUGGGACUGAGACACGGCCCAGACUCCUACGGGAGGCAGCAGUGGGGAAUAUUGCACAAUGGGCGAAAGCCUGAUGCAGCGACGCCGCGUGAGGGAUGACGGCCUUCGGGUUGUAAACCUCUUUCAGCAGGGAAGAAGCGAAAGUGACGGUACCUGCAGAAGAAGCGCCGGCUAACUACGUGCCAGCA
rnacentral:rRNA from 1 species